rnacentral:misc_RNA from 1 species
GGUGAAGAACGCAGCAAAAUGCGAUAAGUAAUGUGAAUUGCAGAAUUCAGUGAAUCAUCGAAUCUUUGAACGCACAUUGCGCCCGCUGGUAUUCCGGCGGGCAUGCCUGUUCGAGCGUCAUUUCAACCCUCAUGCCCCCGGGUUUGGUGUUGGGGAUCGGCUCUGCCCUUCUGGGCGGUGCCGCCCCCGAAAUACAUUGGCGGUCUCGCUGCAGCCUCCAUUGCGUAGUAGCUAACACCUCGCAACUGGAACGCGGCGCGGCCAUGCCGUAAAACCCCAACUUCUGAAUGUUGACCUCGGAUCAGGUAGGAAUACCCGCUGAACUUAAGCAUAUCAAUAAGCGGAGGA